GCCCUUGUGGGUGAACGGGACACCGCCCCUUUAGUCGUUCAUGGACCCACAAAUGCUGCGGGGAGAUGGAGGUUCGAUUCCUCCCGGGGCA